rnacentral:rRNA from 1 species
UCCAGACUCCUACGGGAGGCAGCAGUGGGGGAUAUUGCACAAUGGGGGGAACCCUGAUGCAGCGACGCCGCGUGGGUGAAGGAGCGUUUCGGCGCGUAAAGCCCUCUCGGCAGGGAAGAAGGAGGACGGUACCUGACUAAGAAGCCCCGGCUAACUACGUGCCAGCAGCCGCGGUAAUACGUAGGGGGCAAGCGUUAUCCGGAUUUACUGGGUGUAAAGGGGGCGCAGACGGCAGCGCAAGCCAGGAGUGAAAGCCCGGGGCCCAACCCCGGGACUGCUCUUGGAACUGCGCGGCUGGAGUGCAGGAGGGGCAGGCGGAAUUCCUGGUGUAGCGGUGAAAUGCGUAGAUAUCAGGAGGAACACCGGUGGCGAAGGCGGCCUGCUGGACUGCGACUGACGUUGAGGCCCGAAAGCGUGGGGAGCAAACAGGAUUAGAUACCCCUGUAAA